AAGCGUUGAAUUGAAGCCCGAGUAAACGGCGGCCGUAACUAUAACGGUCCUAAGGUAGCGAAAUUCCUUGUCGGUUAAAUACCGACCUGCAUGAAUGGCGUAACGAGAUGGGAGCUGUCUCAACCAGAGAUUCAGUGAAAUUGUAGUGGAGGUGAAAAUUCCUCCUACCCGCGGCAAGACGGGAAGACCCCGUG
rnacentral:rRNA from 1 species